CCUACGGGCGGCAGCAGUGGGGAAUAUUGGACAAUGGGGGGAACCCUGAUCCAGCCAUGCCGCGUGUGUGAAGAAGGCCCUCGGGUUGUAAAGCACUUUCAGUGAGGAAGAACGCCUGGUGGUUAAUACCCAUCAGGGAAGACAUCACUCACAGAAGAAGCACCGGCUAACUCCGUGCCAGCAGCCGCGGUAAUACGGAGGGUGCGAGCGUUAAUCGGAAUUACUGGGCGUAAAGCGCGCGUAGGUGGCUUGAUAAGCCGGUUGUGAAAGCCCCGGGCUCAACCUGGGAACGGCAUCCGGAACUGUCAAGCUAGAGUGCAGGAGAGGAAGGUAGAAUUCCCGGUGUAGCGGUGAAAUGCGUAGAGAUCGGGAGGAAUACCAGUGGCGAAGGCGGCCUUCUGGACUGACACUGACACUGAGGUGCGAAAGCGUGGGUAGCAAACAGGAUUAGAUACCCGUGUAGUC
rnacentral:rRNA from 1 species